GGAAAUUUAAAGCAAAACCGAAACAUAGCACCCGUAGUUCCAUCUGUCACCGGAAAAUCGAGCAAAGAUAACAAAAAAAUCAUUGGCUAGAACCUUUUUUCUGCCUUGUACACUUCUUUUCAUUAUCACAAGUUGUGGUUUUCUUCGAAACAAGUGAAACUUUGUCUCCUAUUAGUAAAAAUACAAACAUGAGGAUGAAACUUGAAGAACAAUAGUAACUGAAUUGCAAAGAUCCGACGUUUCGGCCAUUGGUUGCGGCCUUUUUCAAAAGAAUUUUUUGAAACGGCCCUCUUAGAACAUUGCAUAUAACACCAAAUCCGCUCCACAUUAGCAGAAACCAUGAUAUUGGACCGUACUCUAAACCCAUAAAUGCUCCCAGAAUUAAAGUGUUUCUGCAUCAACACCGUUAAGCACCAAACUGGCGUCGGUGGAAUCAAUACGCAGGACUUCCAGAUCCAGUGAAACCAAUACAAGA